AGUAAAAUGGGUGGGUCAUAUGGUAAGUGUGUGCUUAACUUUUUAAGAAACUGCCAAACUGUUUUCCAAAGUGAUUAUACCAGUGUGUAUUCCCACCAGCUAU
rnacentral:pre_miRNA from 1 species